AUGGCCUCGAGAAAGCUGCGCCAUUACUUCCAAGCACAUGAGAUCACAGUCGUCACUCGUUUUCCGCUAAAGAGGAUACUGCAAAAUCCAGAAGCAACAGGCAGGAUUGUCGAGUGGGCACUGGAACUGUCAAGCUUUGGCCUCAAGUUUGAGAGCACUUCAACUAUCCAAAGCAGAGCAUUGGCAGAGUUCAUAGCAGAAUGGAUGCCAACACAAGAUGAAGAAAUUCCAGAAACAAGCAUCCCCGUCAAGGAAGCAAGCAAAGAGUGGCUGAUGUACUUUGAUGGUGCCUUCUCGCUGCAAGGCGCCGGUGCGGGCGUGCUACUUGUUGCACCCACCGGAGAGCACCUCAAGUACGUAGUCCAGAUGCACUUUCCCAAGGAGCAAGCAACGAACAAUACCGCAGAGUAUGAAGGUUUGCUUGCCGGUCUCAGGAUCGCAGCAGACCUUGGGAUCAAGAAGCUCAUUGUCAGGGGUGACUCACAGCUUGUCAUCCGCCAAGUGAAAAAGAAUUAUCAGAGUCCGUUGAUGGAAGCUUACGUUGAUGAAGUGAGAAAGCUAGAAGAGCACUUUGACGGCCUACAGAUGGAACAUGUUCCAAGAGCUCAGAACGACAUUGCCGAUGGCCUGUCGAAGUGCGCCGCACUUAAGUUACCCGUGGAACCAGGGAUCUUUGUGCUCAAACUGACUCAACCGUCUGUAACGCCAUCAACUGGACAGAGCAAGAAAAGGAAGUUGAUUUCUGGUGACUAUUUUUCGGUAGAGCUCCCCGAAGCCGCCGCCAAGAAGGUCCUCAAGAUCAACACCAAGGGUGCUGAGGAGCAGUCUGCUCCGGCAAGCCCUAGGGUUUGUUCCGUUGAAGCAGACGCUCCCGACAAGUUUUGCUCCGGCAAGCUUGGCGGGGAACGUCAAGCUCCGGCUGAGCCGCAGGUUCUCGCCGUAGAAGCGGAUGUUCCCACAGCAGCAGAUGUGCCUUUAGUCCUUGUUGCCGAGCCGCAAGCUCCAGCAUGGCCACAGCAGAUUGUCUGUUUCCUUCAGACAGGAGAACUUCCCGAAGAGCAAGAAGAAGCGGAAAGAGUAGCCCGUCAGUCAAGUAUGUACAAGUUUGUCGACAACAUACUAUACAGAAGAAGACUCAACGGUGUGAAAUUGAAGUGUAUUCGCCGGGAAGACGGACAAAAGCUGUUGGCAGAGAUACAUGGAGGCAUAUGUGGUCACCACAUUGGCGCAAGAACACUUGCGGCAAAGUGUUCCAGCAAGGUUUCUUUUGGCCAACAACCCUCCAGGAUGCAACUGCACAAGUAA
rnacentral:rRNA from 1 species